ensembl:snRNA U6 U6 spliceosomal RNA
GUGCUCAUUUCAGCAGCACAUAUACCAAAAUGGAACUUUAUAGAGAUGAUUAGCAAGGCCCCUGUGCAAGGAUGACACACAAAUUCAUGAAGCAUUCCAUAUUUUU